GUUCAAGUUCAGGCUCUGGCCCUUACCAGCUGCACGCCCUUGAGCCAGUCAUCGUCUCUCCGCGGCUCGGCUCCUACAUCUGCAAAGUGGAAAUAACAGCGCUCACCCCAGAGGCAGGAGGGCUGUGGAACAGGAUGCUGGUGCGGGCCCUUCCCUCGCUCGAGGAUGCUGGGUAGACAUGCAGGGUCCUAGGUGGGCUGAAUCAGAACCUGCACUGAUACCUUUAAAACACGACUCAAGUGGGGGCCCCAGGGUGGCUCAGGGGUGGAGCGUCUGCCCUCGGCUCAGGCCGUGACUCCCUGCAUGGAGCCUGCUUCUCCCUCUGCCUGGGUCUCUGCCUCUCUCUGUGUGUCUCUCAUGAAUAAAUAAAAUCGAUAAAAUAAUAAAUAAAAAAUUAAUAAUUAAUAAAAAUAAAAAGCAACUCAAGUGUUUCCUAUGUAGAGACAGAACCACAACACCAGGCGAACCUCCAAAUUUUAUCUCAUCUUCCUUGAGGAGAGAAAUAAUUUGACACUAAUGGGUGGGGAGAAUCCCCCUGCACCCACCUUUUCCCCCCCUCUCGCCUUCUCCAGGAGCCCAGCAGCCACGGAGUGACGUCUGGUGUCCUCCCCAGUUGUAACUCCCUCUACCCGCUGAGCCACAUCCCCCCACUUGCUCGGGCCAGCAGGACGCACAGCUGGCAUGGAACCCUGUUGAACACCGUGAUGCGGGGCCACGGGGGACUGGAGAGGAGGCAUGCAGUGCAGCCAAGGGAGGUGCCUAGUAAGGGGCGGGGACUGUUACCAGCGGCUCAAGAGAUACUGCGGGGAGACACGGCCCAGGCCUCGCUACCAACUGGCUGCAGCGGGAAGAAGCCGGACAAUCGGUGUGACGACGACACUGGGGACGUCCGUGACCGACCGGGUGGUGUGCAGAUGCGGAAUCAUCCCAAGUGGAAAGUGAUAGCUUCUGUCUCAGAACCCCACCCCUUCAGAGUCAGAAUUCGAGCCGCACAGCUCCCGCCCGCGUGGGAGGCAUGGCCUGGCGACAGGGUGACGCCGAGGUGCCUACGGGACCUCCAGCUAGAGACGUCCGGGGCCAAUCCGGAGAGCUGUGAGGGCUUGAAGAGGUCUUGUGUCCUCCUCCCAGCUGCCCCGGACAUGUGGCAGCAAGAGCCGGAGAAGUCACUGGAGCCUCCUUCAAGGCCCGGCAGGGUCCUUUGCAAGCCUCACCCCGACCGCAGCUAG
rnacentral:lncRNA from 12 species